rnacentral:lncRNA from 1 species
AUUUUCCAGAUAGGGAGGCUACAAAAUUAGUAACUGAUUCUUCAGAGCAGGCACAGGCUUUUCCAACUCUGGACACCUGGGUUGCAGAAUCACCUUGUGGGACUUGAUCAACCAAGUCAUGCUUUCUCUAGAGAGCACAGGGUCAGUCAUUUGAGGCCCUAUUUUCCAAGCCCAUAGCUGAUAAAUGCCUGUUACAGGAUAGACUGAACCAAGCUGAGGGCAAAAUCAGGCUGGAAUCCACUUUCUCAUUAUCCUGAGGAACACAGGGUGCUCUAGCCCAGUUCUUUUCAAACGAUAGUCCAUUCAAAGUCUGCUUUCUGCCAGUAGUAAACCUAAGAUGAAAACAAUGAAACAUGAGCUCCGUCAGCUAGAUGCCCAAGGGAGUGGGGGACAAAAGAGCUGCUCAAAAUGGCCUAUCAGACAGAAACUGGCUUAGAGAGUUAGAUCAACAUGGUCGAUCUGAUGUUCUCAAUAAGAGUUGCUCCAAUGGCCCAGAUCCUUGUAUUUGGACUCAUAUUCUGUUCUUCAUGAGAUUUCUUUACAGACUUCAAUCUUUCAGCUUAGUAUCUACCACAAAGGCCCUCUUCUGUUAUUAUCUUAUCUAUCUGUUAUCCAUGAAACUUCUUGACCCUUUCUGAGAUAUGUCUAUUUUCAGUCUAAACUAACUUAAAGUAACCCUUAAGUUCCUAUGUCGAGUAAUCCUGCAUAAAGUAACAUUUAAAAAAAUUCAAAUGUAUCUUUUUGAGGGCUUUAAGAGGUACAUCCAACCAUAACAUAAAGGAAGCAGGUAGAUUCAUUUACUUUCUAAUCCAGAUAUUUCCUAGUUAUAGAUAAUGGUCUCUUUACACCACCUCCUCUCAAGAUUAAAAAAAGUCCUAAACUAUAGAGCAGUUAUGUUAAAUUUGUAUGUACUGUACAGUUGUGCCUCCGUAUGCAUGGAGGCUUGAUUCCAGAAUCUCCCUGCAAUAUCAAAGUCCAACAUGCAAAAAAAUCCCAUAUAUGAAAUGGUGUAGUGUUUGCAUAUAACCUAUACAAUUCCUCCAGUUUACUUUCAGUCAUCUCUACAUCAUUUACAAUACCUAAUACGAUAUAAACGUCAUAUAAAUUUCAUCCUUUCCUGAAAAGAUCUUUUAACUGGAAAAUGGUAAAAACAAAAAUUUAAUAAGCAAUCAUAAAUUUCUUUACCAUCUUUAGUGACAAACAUCUUUUGUUUUACUGCUUUGUCGGUUUUAACCUCAUAUAGGCUGUGGUUUUAAGUCGCUUGAGAUGUGAGAAAAACCUAUUUGUUCAGCACCUAGUACUCAGUGUGUUGGGAAUUAACUACUGAAAUUGAAACACAUGGAUCGAGGGUGUUUAUUUCACAUAGAACAAUAUUUUAAGCAUAAAAAGCAUACAAAAAUGCUUUAAAAGUAAACAAAGCUGAUAUAGAUUUACAUAUCUGAUAUUACAUAGAAAAGCAUCAGUUUUAUUAACAUUGUUUCAUUUAUAUUCCCAGUUCUUAAGAGCUCCUGACAUUUAUUUAUUCUUCCAUUACCUAAAUCCUAGUUAAUGGAGCAGCUAGAUAAUACUGAAAAAACAAAACAGAAGUACAAGUCACAUAAUACAAUGACAACAUGUUUUUAAUCAUAUUCCAGUACAACCUCUGUGUCUUUCAAAUUCUAAUAUAUGGACUAAGUAUGAAAACUCAGAGCAAAGGUCAAAGGUGGAGGAAGGGAAAAUGUAAAUUCUGAAAAUAAUAUACUAAAUGUGAGGCAGACCAGGCAGGAAAUCUCUUCUGAGAUGGUUUACAAUGAAGAGAUGAAAUUUAGUGAGAAAACAGAGAAAGUACUUAGAAAAAAACAGAAAAGAAACAGAAGAGAAUCUUAAAUUUAGAAGAAAUCUGGGGCUACUCAUGGUAAAAAAUCUUUUAGAAAUCCAUAGUAGCUGGCCAUCCAGGCACUUUUGGAAAGACAGACAGGCAAACACACACACAGAGUCAGAAAGAGACAAAGAUAUAGGCAGAAACAGAAAGAGAGAAUGUAUUGCACAUACACGCAAUUCAAAAUAAAAAGUCAUAAUUCCACAUUCUGAAAUAGAUUUCCCCAGAAAAUGGUAAUUUAUGUCUAGCACUGAAACUACAAACCCAAAAGAAUUUUUGGAGUUUGUAGUUUUUACUUUGUAGGCAAGAGUGUGGGUUAUCUCUCCUCAGUACAUUUUACAUGGACAUUCUACUUCUCUUAGUUUCCUUUUUACAUUAACAUGAGGGUAAAUUUCCAUCUGUGACUGGUCAGAGGCUCUAUAGCAAAUCAAUGUAGAUGCCAGGAUGAGCGUGGGGAGUCGUGGAGUCCUUACCAGCGUGGUGCUAGUCAAGGAUAGGGCGAAGUGGAGGUAGGAUUGAUAGGGACAGCAGUUUGGCUGGUGUUGCAGGUCACACAUGAACUCACAUUUGAUAUACAGAUAAGGUCUUCUGUCCUGCUUAUCUCUUUCUAAAAUUAUUAAGUGCUUUGAUGACCUUUUGAGGAAUAGUGUGCAAUUCUAAGUAGUGUUCAAACAGUGAAUGGCAGCACUUAACAGCAGAAGGACUCAGGAAAUCCAAAGGAGCACAUUAGCAUGUCAUAAAGCUCUGGAAGUAAUUUACCUGAUUCUGAGACGUUAUUUAUACUCAAAGUGCUGCUUCCAUGAAAAGAGUAGAAAAUUAAACAACGACAAAAAAUUUGUUUAUUAUAGCUAAGACAUUUAAAUCAAAUAGCAAACCAAAAUUUGGGGAUUUUUUUUCAUAUUAGUUAACUUUUCUACCACCUAUUUAGAGCAGAUUCCUACACAUAGAAGAUGGCAUAAUCUGUAUGUGUCUUGCACCUACCAGGAGAUGAGCAGUUAUCCCUGUUGUCUUUGAAUCAAAAUAAAGCAAAAACCAAGAAAAGUCAUGACCAAGAGAAAAAUAAGACAUCAGUAUAGUUCAAAGGCUUUGCAUCACCAUAGGCAGCCAACAAAAAUUAGGUUAACUCUUCCUCAAGAAAACAAAUCUCAUUAGCCAGUAGUCCAUCAUAUAACAAAUUUUAGGAUGAGUAUUGAACUACUUACUACCUGUAGCCAUCAUCAGUUACCUUGGGAAUAAUCAUUCAAUGAAUGUAAGAAGAUAAAUCUAGAUGGUAUUUGUAUAAAACAAUGGGACUUUUCUUGCCCAGUGAAAGAAUGUCAAUCCAAAGUCUUGGCAUUGUAGGUUUUUGUUUUCUAGUGUUAUUUUUAAAAAAUUUUUAAUUAAAAAAAAUUUUUUUGGUCUUUUGUCUUAUCAGGGCCAUACCCACAGCAUAUGGAGGUUCCCAGGCUAGGGGUCUAAUCGGAGCUGUAGCCGCCGGCGUACACCAGAGCCAUAGCAACGCCAGAUCCAAACCCUGUCUGUGACCUACACCACAGCUCACAGCAACGCCAGAUCCUUAAUCCAAUGAGCAAGGUGAGGGAUCUAACCCUCAACCUUCUUGUCAGAUUUGUUUCCACUGUGCCAUGAUGGGAACUCCUCUAGUGUUAUUUUUUCCUUUCUCUGAAUAUUUAAUUAGUAGUAGCUUCUGUUCCCAUGACAUAUUGGGCUUCAUGAUAAGCCUCUGUCCAUGUACAAAUGCAUCACUAGACAGAAGGGUUAUCAACACAUGUAUUGUUUCUCUAUUUGUUUUUGUUAUAUAUGUGUAUUUGUGGUUCUAUAAUUCAUAAGACAUAUACAUAAAUAAGUGGUCAAUGCAAAGGCAGAAACAUAGGGCCUUAGGAACUUCUCUCUUUAUAUCCACCUCCUCUUUCACUCUACCUACUUUUUGAAAAUCCAGUUUCCAUGUCAUCACUUUUUAUUUUUUCCCCUUCACAGUUGAAUUUCAGCUCAUUUUCCCCUCUACUCAAUUCAGAUAGAAUCUAGAGGAUUGUACUAUUUUAUUUCUGUCCUUCGCUUCUAACUGUCCUUCUCUGCAGCAGAAAAGAGUCCAAGGAUGUGCUUAGGUAUCAUUACUGGAUUACUCUUCCCAAAACAGUAAUAAAAGUAUAGCUUAUCUUUUAGACCAACUGCAAGUUGGCUCAUUGUUUCUUAGCCAAUUGAUUGCAUUUUAUUCUCUGUCCUUCCCUGUACACAAAGUACCUCUAUGGUAUAAGAUAUGAGGGUGGAGACAGUUGAAGAGAAGUGUAAAAGUGUUUCCAUUUGUUUCCUACUGUUAGUAAAGUAGAAUGUUUUCAUUCAGUAAUCCUAGAGCACCUAGUGCUGUUUACUAACAUAAACUAAGUUUUCUUGUGAUUUUCCACCUGAAGAAAUCUAAGAUAUGAAAGAGACUAAUUGGAAGUAAGCAAAUCUGGACUGUUUUUUAAGUUCUUAAGUUCUAGCAAACUUGGAGAAGUUACUUAACUCCUUUGCAUCUGUUUCCUCUUCUGUAAGAUAAGUAAUGUAAUUGUUAUGUAUUACAGAUUAAUUUUUAAACUGAAGAACAUGUUAUGGUGGUAAUAGCAUGAUAUCUGAUGUUUACAUGUUGACAGUAAGCUAUAUUAUGUCAGAAAGACUGAUUUCUUUUUUUUAUUGGCUUAAGUUUUGAGUUAGUUCCCUUCUUGGCCAUCAGCUCUAACCAUAGACCUUCAUUAUAUCAUCCUGUAACAUCCUAGGUUUCUAUUAGAGGCUUCAAGGAAUUACUCCUAAAAUGUAAAUUAUGAAAGAAAUCUAUAGUAUAUACGGUCCAAAUCCUCUAAUGUUAUAUAUGAAGUAAUUAAUAUUUGGAUAAGUAAACAAGCUUUGUUUAGCUCUCAGACCUAGUGACUAACACAACCUGGGUUACACUUGAAAUUUUCUUACCUUCAAGUUAUGGUAUUGAUACUGCUUAUUAAAUAGGACUAUUCAAGUGAGAUGUUUGGAUGGGUUGAAAUGGUUGGGUUUAACAUGCUAAGUGUUAAACAUCUUUUAUAAAGUGACAUUCUAUGUUUGCAGCUCAAACAGGAUACACACGGAGCCCUCAGUAUCAGUCAUAGCUGAAAGGUUUUCUAGAACCUUAACAUAUGUUAAACAUUAAAGCUCUCUUACUAAAUCAGAGUUAUCUAGGGCCUAGCAAUUACAGCCUCCUGGUACUUCCAGGAAUACAUUAUCUUGCCCUAAUGGAGAGCAACUUAACCAAUGUUUCACUUCUUAAUUAGUCUUUGUUGGCCACUGAAGGGCCGAGGCUGAUGCUUAUGCUACCAGAUUCAUCUCUGGUAUUACUAAAGUCACUCUGAUAAACUCAACUAGUAAGACUAUAACAGUCUAGAUCUCAAAUGCAAUAAAGGAGCUCUACGGUCCAUCUAACCCCACAACCUUAAUUGCAGACACUCCUAUUAUAGUUUUCAUGGGGCAGAAGGAUUUUAAUUCUGUGGCUAUCUAGGAACAUGGGGUGCUAUCUUGAAGAGAAAUUGUCCUUUCACAUUGCUCUGUGACAGUCCUCUAUUGUUUCUGUCUAUCACCCCAUUAAGAUGGCAACUUCAUUAGAGUAACAGUCUUAGGUGACUAAAAGUGCCCUAGGUGAAUAAUUGACUAGUCACAUAUUAUUAGGACAUAUUUCAUGCAAGACUGCGGCCUGAAGAUAUGUCAUACUUUGGAAAACUCAAUAUGAAACUAAACAAACUUUAACUUAUAAGCAAAUAAAUUGGAUAUCUGAGUUCCCAGUGGGAGGGCUGAUUAUUCAAAUUUUAGAGUUUUAUCACUUUAAAAAUGGUUCAGUACUGAGAUUCUUUAUAAAGUGCCCAUGGGAAUGUAUAUGUAACUUUCAUUAUUAAAAAUCCAAUAAACACAGUUGUUCAGGAAGCAAUCCAUUGCGCAGAGUAAGGCAUACAUACACAAUUUUUGGGUACUUCUUUUGGCUUAAACAUUGAGAAAAUCAAACCUUUGCAUACUAUCAGAAUUACAGAUUCAUUUGUGAUCCUUAUCAAUGGAUCAAGCCAAGAGCUGUGUAGUUUUUAAGAAGGUGGAUAUAUAUAGAGAGAGGUAUACUAUAUAUAUACCUCUAUUUGUUCAGGAUAAUCCCAGUUUAUAUAAGUUGUUUCAAAGCAAUUAUUAAUAGUGCCUCAAAAAUGUCCUAGUUUGGAUUAUGUGGUCACCUUAUUGUUAGAUUGCUUUACAAUGAAAUAAGCUCAUUGUUAGCUUGAAUACAGAAUGCCAUUACACAAAUAAAAUUCAGCUAGGACUAAAAGCAAAGCCAUUAGGACAUUCAUUCAUUAGUUCAUUAUGUAUUAUUCAAACUUAAGCAAGUAUUCCUUAGGCAUUGUGUGUCAAUAUUUUUUUUUUCUUUUUAGGGCUGAACCCAUGGCUUAUGGAAUUUCCCAGGCUAGGGGUCAAAUUGGAGCUGCAGCUGCUGGCCUAUGCCACAGCCACAGCAAUGCCAAAUCCGAACCAUGUCUGCAACCUACACCACAGCUCAUGGUAAUGCCGGAUCUUCUAACUCACUGAACAAGGCCAGGGAUCGAACCCACAUAUUCAUGGAUACUAGUUACUUACCACUGAGCCAUAAUGGGAACUCCAAUAAAUAUUUCUAAACAAUUUAUUGAGCCUUGAGGAUACCAAAGAUCCAAACGUGAUUUUGGACAAAGCAUAUAUGUAUGUUGUAUGUUUCAUUUAACAUUUAAUAAGAGAGAUUGCAAUUUACCUUGUAUAAAAAAAGGGAAUGGGUUUAUCAAGAUUUCGUAUCUUGCUUAUUAUUACACAGUAAUAUACAUGGAAAAAUUGAAAUUCAUAGGCACUCAUCAUUAAAAUUUUUACUUAUACCUCCAUGAUUUUACCGUUUAGGCGUAAUUGAGAGAUGCAUGAAAGGACCUUGUACUAGUAUAUGGGAGAGAAUGGAGAGAAAUGAUAAUGAAAAAGGAAUAGGUAGAGCCCUUCUCAAUGUAGCAGCUUUCUCAGCUCUUGGGACCAUCCAAUGGGAGGGCUUAUCUAGGUCCUACCAGGGAAAGUGGGACCCAUGUGGAUAUGCUAACAUGGAUAACAUCUAUCCAGCCCACUGAAAGAUCUGCAGUUACGCAAGUACUUCAUCAUGUUGGGCUGUAUUUCAUUUACUGUUCAAAUCACCCUUCCCAAAGUUACCUCCUUUACUCCAUGGAAAUCCCUACCCUCUUGCCAACCCUGUCCUUCAGCCUUCAAAAGAAGAAUAUUAUUUCUGUAAAUGUGCAACUGUUUCUAAAAUUAUGAGUAAAGUACAAAAGAAACAGAACAAAAAUGAAA